GUACACGCUGUGACUAGCAUAUCAAUAAGCGGGAGGAAAAGAAACUAACAAGGAUUCCCUUAGUAACGGCGAGUGAAGCGGGAAGAGCUCAAGAUUUGAAAUCUUCAAGGUUUUACCUUGACGAAUUCGUAGUUUAAAGAAGUGUUUUCUGCUGAAGUUUUGGUAAAAGUUCUUUGGAAUAGGACAUCAUAGAGGGUGAGAAUCCCGUAUUUUGACCAUUAUUUUCAGCUUUGUGAUACACUUUCAAAGAGUCGGGAUUGUUUGGGAAUGCAGCCCAAAACGGGAGGUAAAUUUCUUCUAAGGCUAAAUAUUGGCGAGAGACCGAUAGCGAACAAGUACCGUGAGGGAAAGAUGAAAAGAACUUUGAAAAGAGAGUUAAAUAGUACGUGAAAUUGUCAAAAGGGAAGCGUUUAACACCAGUGUUGUUUUUCUGAAAAUCAACCUCUGUUAGCUUUAUGCAUGUUUGUUUAGACCUAAUCAGCUAUCUUUCAUGUUCUAUUGUUUGCAGUGGUGCACUUUUCAGUUUACAGGUCAACAUCAGUUUUUUUUUACCGUAAAAAAAGUUAAAGAAAGGUAGCUCAUGGCUCCGGUCGUGAGUGUUAUAGUCUUUUUUCCUAUGCGGUAGGAGAGACUGAGGUCUGCAGUGUAGGCUAUUUGGCUAGAUACUCAGGUGCUAUGUGAUACCAUUUCAUAAACAACUUGUUGAUUAUGUUUUGUCUAUUGCAUACUCGCUUGUACUAUCAUACCUACGCUUAGGAUGUUGAGUAGCGACAUACGCACA
rnacentral:rRNA from 1 species